GGUGGCUCAGACUCGGUUGUAUGCAACUGAUUUGCUGAAGAGGCGACGAAUAUAUACAACCUGAAGUAUGCUUACAAUAGCCAGUAAAAUGUACUCUCCCACUGUGUAGCCUAUAACACGCUUUCGUGUACUCUCGUUCGUACGGCGAUGUCGAGCAUCACGUGCUUUUAAGUACUUCUGCUCUGCCGUAACAGACUCCAAUGCUUCUCUCAGCUCAGCAAUUUUAACAUUAAUAGGAUUCAGAUGCUCAUCUUUCGCAAGAUCAUGCUCAUUGGGAAUAUGACCCACAUGAAUAUAGAAAGAGACAGUCUCUGGUGUUGAGUAGGGAUUGUGAAAACAGAAUUUGUACAUUCCACUUCUUGGGGCCUUAAACUCAAACUUGUCGCCAGAUGUCCCCUUCACAGUGUGAACCACGUUAUCCAAAGGGGAUGUCACGGUGAGAUCAAUUCCGGGGUGAUCAGAGCUCCAGAAGAUGUCGUGAUCAACCACCACGAAGUUCCCAGAAACGGUAUCGCCUUCGUAGAGGACAUACUCGUAGACGCAUUCAACGUCGUUCACGGUGACGGAAAGAGAAGAUAUGCGGCCAAUUAAGGUAAAUAAAAGAGCUGCCACAACGUAGAUCUGCCUUCUUUCCAUCCUUCCCUCUCUGAAUUCUUAUUUUUGUUCGAUUUCUUCUCCACCGGGCUUUCAAGAGAUCCAAAAACAGAAGCGUUGCGCAAACAGAGAAAGAAGAGUUCGUACUCGUGUCUUC
rnacentral:misc_RNA from 1 species